rnacentral:misc_RNA from 1 species
ACUUCAACUUCACCUAUUAUAUGUUGCUACAAAAACUGAAUGUUUCUUGCUACUGUUAUAGACACUACACAAGUGUACAUCCUAUUACAGGCUUGUAUGUGACUAAAUUCUAUACAAGACAGAUAUCAGAUUGCAUCUCUCACCUUUCUCUUGAGAAUUAUAUGCAUUGAAUUAUCUGCUAAUAACACCCCCUCGUAAUAAACUUUCAUCUGAUGCUUAAACACUGGCUGAAACUUCAGUUGCUGGUUUUUCCUUUUUCUUCGGUUGCUCUGGAGCUUUCUGUACAAUAGCCUUAUUCGGUACCAAAACUAUGAAGACGUUCCUAUCCCUGAAAUUCUUGUUCUCCUCAGUUGCAAGCUCACCGACAUCAUUCUGAAAACGCCUAAGUAGCUCAAUAGCAUUAUUUCUGAACUCAUUUUCACGGCCUUUUAAGUUCACUAUGAUUUUUACCUUGUCACCAUCUUUCAAGAACUUCUGAGCAGCUUUCAAACGCACUGAAUAAUCGUGAGAAUCAAUAUUAUAACCCAUUUUGAGCUCCUUCAAAUCCAUGCGGCUGGCAGCAUUUUUCUUUUGCUGCUCCUUUUUCUUCUUUUGCAGCUCAUACUUAUACUUAUUGUAAUCCAUAAUUUUGACGACCGGCGGGUCUGCUUCUGGCGAUAGAAUCACCAAGUCAAGGCUUGCAUCCUCAGCUCUCUGAAGGGCUUCCAUUUUCGACACUAUCCCCAACAUGUUCUGCUUAUCAUCAAUGAGCCUAACCUUGUCUGACCUGAUAGAUGAAAUAUCAAGUGCUUCAUCUUCCUCGGAACGUGGGGGCGGCCGGAAUCCUCCUCUACCACCUCCGCCACCGUAUCUAGCGGAGAUAGUGGCUGAAUGGUAGAUAAGUGAAGAGCAAGAACGAAGCUGAGGAUUAUGAAAUCGAAGCCCAAAAAUGGAAGAAUUAAGGUAAUGGAGGAAAAGGGGUUUGUUGGUUAUGGGUUUAGAGGAAAUGGGUGUCAAGGUGAAGGAAGUACUGGUGGUGAGACCCGCCAUGGACGAUGGGGGUGGGUGGUGUUUACAGAGAAGGAGCUAACACAGAGUGUA